UACGUAGGGGGCGAGCGUUGUCCGGAAUCAUUGGGCGUAAAGCGCGUGUAGGCGGCCCGGUAAGUCCGCUGUGAAAGUCCAGGGCUCAACCCUGGGAUGCCGGUGGAUACUGUCGGGCUCGAGUCCGGAAGGGGCAAUCGGAAUUCUCGGUGUAGCGGUGAAAUGCGUAGAUAUCGGGAGGAACACCAGUGGCGAAGGCGGCUCUCUGGGCAGAUACUGACACUGAGACGCGAAAGCGUGGGUAGCAAACAGG
rnacentral:rRNA from 1 species